ensembl:lncRNA
CUGCUUCAGUGCAAGUAUCAGGCACCCUCAUUCAGAAAGAGGAAACUGGAGGAAGUAUAUUAAUGAAGAGUAGAAGUUUUCUUUCCUUUGCCUGUCUUUAAUUGGAAAAGCAAAAACAGAUUAAUAGAGGAGAGAAAGUAGGUGAUGCUUGAGCUAGGAUCUUCAGGUUAUGAAGAAGAGGAACUGGAAAGUUCGUAAAUGGCUGCAAUGAAGAAUGGCAGAGGUAGAAUCCAGGGAAAAUAGACAACAUGAGAGUGUGAGGAAGACUAUCAGAGAAGAAGAAGGGGAUGAGGGAGAGAUAAAAUGAUGUUGAAGCAUGUGAGCUUGACUGAAGAAGAGCAAUACAACACUCAAAAUCACAAUUAAGAUGAUACCUGGUGUCACUGGGGGCUGCUUCAUCUCAAGCAAUGGGAGUGAUGUGGAGAUAUUUCCAUUCCACUACUCUUUCUGUGAUUUGUAUGAUGGCAUCUUAUAUGUUGGGUAGAGAACACAGGAGUGGUGGUAACAUUUGCUAGUUUGAAUAGUUUUAAAACUGAACUUACAGACUGAACUGUAGUCAACAUUGUUGAAAUGUUAGAACUUCUGCAUGGAAAGAAAAACAUGAACAAAAUAGGAACCAAAUCACUCUCUCAUAAUCAAACGCACUACAAAAAGCCUUGCAAAUAUCAAGUCAGGCAAGUCAGGAAGAUACCUGCCCUGCAGUCCAUUAGAGGUUGAAUGGGACUUUUGUGAAACUAUUUUAAUUUCUCACUAUUACAGUGUGUUUAUUUCUUGAUUUUAGGAUAGAAUCCUUCAGACUCUUAUUAUUAAUUAUAUUAAUUAUGACUGUUAAUAGGUAUCUUAUAGGUUUAGAAAAUUUAUUUCUAUUUCUUAUCUGCUGAGAGAUUGUACAGAAUUGAAUGCUGGAUUUUUUUCCAUUUAUAUAUGACCAUAUAGUUUUUAAUCUGUUAAAAUGAUAUUCCAAACAUAUGACUUUGUUUUUUUUAAGCCUCCAUAACUUCUGAUAAAAAAAUUAACUCUCAGUCUCACCUUUGCUUUUCUGAAUAUAAUGGGACUUCCCUAACUACUUUUAAGAUUUUUCUCUUCAUUCCA